rnacentral:rRNA from 1 species
AUACGGAGGAUCCGAGCGUUAUCCGGAUUUAUUGGGUUUAAAGGGUGCGCAGGCGGGAGAUUAAGUCGGCGGUGAAAUUUUGCAGCUCAACUGUAAAAGUGCCUUCGAAACUGGUUUCCUUGAGUGUAGAUGAAGUAGGCGGAAUUUGUGGUGUAGCGGUGAAAUGCAUAGAUAUCAAGAGGAACUCCGAUUGCGCAGGCAGCUUACUAAACUACUACUGACGCUCAGGCACGAAGGCGUGGGGAUCAAACAGGAUUAGAUACCCUGGUAGUCCACGCAGUAAACGAUGAUUACUAGCUGUUUGCGAUACAAUGUAAGCGGCUGAGCGAAAGCGUUAAGUAAUCCACCUGGGGAGUACGUUCGCAAGAAUGAAACUCAAAUGAAUUGACGGGG